rnacentral:lncRNA from 1 species
GCUCUCCACAGUACAUCGCAGAGUACCACUGGUGGAGACAGAAUAAGGCAGGUAACUAAAAGGGAAUGUCCCCUCCCUGCAACAGAAAAAAUAGCAACCUUAACAAUGUUUUAAAGAACAGAAGGAAAAACUUCAUUGUGAUUCUCCUCUCCUGCCUCAACAAAGCUACUGGCAGGUACCCUUGACCGCUGUAUCAUUUACCUGACUCAGUUCAUAAAGUGGAUGGAUACGCUGCUGUACUCCGCUUAGGCCACCACCCUCACUAGACAUGCAGAGGCCGCUGGCUUACACACAUUGUAACAUUUGUGUUGUGUUUAACGGGUCCAAAGUGUCCUUCUUUCAAACCACUUUUAGAGCAUCCUUCUUUUAGGUUGUUGAUGCCUAUAAAUGUAUCUCCCUCGGGCUGAUACCAC